rnacentral:rRNA from 1 species
CCUACGGGUGGCAGCAGUAGGGAAUAUUGCUCAAUGGGGGAAACCCUGAAGCAGCAACGCAGCGUGAAGGAUGACUGUUUUCUGAGUUGUAACCUCUUUUUUUAUAGAAGUAAAUGACGGUAUCUAUCGACUAAUCACCGUCUAACUCCGUUCCAGCAGCCGCGCCACUAUGGAGGCUGCCAGCGUGACUCGGAAUAAUGGAGCGUAAAGGGCACUUAGUCGGUUUAAAAAGUCAGAUGGGAAAUACUUUGGCUUAACCAUAGAACUGCAUUUGAAACUGUUAUUCUAGAGUAUGGGAGAGGUAGGUGGAAGUCGUGGUGUAGGGGUAAAAUGCUUAGAGAUCAAGAAGAAUACUCAUUGCGAAGGCAGCCUGCUAGACUAUAACUGACGCUGAUGCACGAAAGCGUGGGGAGCAAACAGGAUUAGAUACCCGAGUAGUG